AGUCGAGCGGGCCUUCGGGGUCAGCGGCAGACGGGUGAGUAACACGUGGGAACGUACCCUUUGGUUCGGAAUAACGCUGGGAAACUAGCGCUAAUACCGGAUACGCCCUUUUGGGGAAAGGCUUGCUGCCGAAGGAUCGGCCCGCGUCUGAUUAGCUAGUUGGUGGGGUAAUGGCCUACCAAGGCGACGAUCAGUAGCUGGUCUGAGAGGAUGAUCAGCCACACUGGGACUGAGACACGGCCCAGACUCCUACGGGAGGCAGCAGUGGGGAAUAUUGGACAAUGGGCGCAAGCCUGAUCCAGCCAUGCCGCGUGAGUGAUGAAGGCCUUAGGGUUGUAAAGCUCUUUUGUCCGGGACGAUAAUGACGGUACCGGAAGAAUAAGCCCCGGCUAACUUCGUGCCAGCAGCCGCGGUAAUACGAAGGGGGCUAGCGUUGCUCGGAAUCACUGGGCGUAAAGGGCGCGUAGGCGGCCAUUCAAGUCGGGGGUGAAAGCCUGUGGCUCAACCACAGAAUUGCCUUCGAUACUGUUUGGCUUGAGUUUGGUAGAGGUUGGUGGAACUGCGAGUGUAGAGGUGAAAUUCGUAGAUAUUCGCAAGAACACCAGUGGCGAAGGCGGCCAACUGGACACAAUACUGACGCUGAGGCGCGCAAAGCGUGGGGAGCAAACAAGAUAUAUAUACGCCUGGUAGUCCCCGCCGUAAACAAUGAAU
rnacentral:rRNA from 1 species